rnacentral:rRNA from 1 species
AUACGGAGGAUCCGAGCGUUAUCCGGAUUUAUUGGGUUUAAAGGGUGCGUAGGUGGUUUGAUAAGUCAGCGGUGAAAGUUUGCAGCUUAACUGUAAAAAUGCCGUUGAAACUGUCGGACUUGAGUGUAAAUGAGGUAGGCGGAAUGCGUGGUGUAGCGGUGAAAUGCUUAGAUAUCACAAAGAACUCCGAUUGCGCAGGCAGCUUACUAAACUACAACUGACGCUCAGGCACGAAGGCGUGGGUAUC